rnacentral:lncRNA from 1 species
GCCGGCCCAGGAAGAAGAUAAACUCUUUUCUUUUUAUAAAAAUUGAUUUCUAAUCUAUUUUACUAAACCAAUUUCAAAACCCUUUUUGAAUUAAAAAACCUGAGAUUAUUUGGAACUUGUUUUUAGACUAUUUUGAAAUCCAAAUAUAUUUUAGUUUAAACACAUUUCUAAAUUGUUUUCCAACUCGAAUUUGAAUUAGUUUUCAAAUAGGACUUUGGGAGUUUUAUUUUUCCGAAAACCAAAAGGAUUUUGAAAUUCAUUUUUCUGAGACAAGCCAAACAAAGUUAGGGCACAAAGCACACAACAAAUAAAACACCCUCCACUUAAUUUAAUAAAAGUUUUAAAAUUUCACAUUUUUCUCAUUUUAGAAUAACAAUAAUUAAUAAAAAUCUGGUAAUACUUUAGAAAAAUUUUAAAUCCUUAUUCAAUUUAGUGUUUUCUAAUAACAAUCCAAAAAUUAAAAAUUUUGGAGUGUUAUAAUGUAAACCUUGCCCCCAAAAAAUAAAAACAAAAAAUGUAAGGAGCAACUCAACAAAAUAGAUAAUGCAGCUACUGAGGUCAGCCACGUUUGAUUACGAAAUUCUGUUCACUAUUGACUUUCUACUAAUAAAACCAUGGUUAGACUGCUAAAUUAACAUUUUGAAAAAAGAGAAUAUAUUAAUAUUUCAGUUUCUGCAUUGACUAUUACAUAUAUCUGUUCCUUGUUACACAUAUAAGCACCAAGGUCCAGACAAUCUCAAAAACAAAGUUUUGAUUCUGAAAAGAAGAAUAAAAAGUUGUCCCAA